rnacentral:lncRNA from 1 species
AAUAGUGCAAAGGAGAGAUAUCGGCUCUGGAAGAUUAGCAUGAAGAUUGGAGAAGGAGGCCGGCCAAUACCCGAGCACAUUUUUGAAGUUAUCAUCAAUUUGGUAACUCCGAUCCUUUUUAAUUUUUUUUGUGCUUGUUUUUUACUUAUUUUUUUAGAAGUGUGAAAAAUUUGAGUUAAGAUCAAAAGUUUAUUCAUUAAUUAUUGAGGUUUAAAUCUGUUAUAGGAAUUACUAGGGUUUGAUUUAGGAUUUGAUUAGGGUUUGAUUUAGGAUUUGGUUAGGGUUUAAUUUAGGGUUUAGAGUUUGGUUAGGAUUUGAUUUAGGGUUUAUAAUUUGGUGAGGAUUUAGAUUAGGAUUUGUUUAGGAUUUGAUUUAUGAUUUAGGAUUUAGAUUAGGAUUUGGUUUAGGAUUGUAUUAGGAUUUGGUUUAGGAUUUGGUUGGAAUUUGAUUUAAGGAUUGUUUAGUAUUUUAUUAGGAUUUAAGAUUCAAUUAAUUUUGGCCUAAAGUUUGAAUGAAGUUUAAUAGGAUUUUAACUAGAAUUAAAUUAAGAUUGAAUUGAGAUAUAUUUGAGUGAUAUUUGUGAUCCUUCUAAUAUUUCUUUAAGAAUUCUUAUUGUUUGUUUGAAAUUUCUUUGAGGAUUUUUUGAAUUUAAUUAAGCUUGCUUAGUAUUAUUAUGGUCUAAUUAGAUCAUUGUUAGUAUUCUAUUAAAAUUAGGAUUUUGUUAUUACAAUUUCUAUUCUUCCUUCCAUAGCCAAGUACCCGGAGCAUUCUCAAGCAAGACUUAACGUAUUACGAUAAUGAAACCUUUUGGAACGGAACUGAUGCCUCCGUAAUCAUGAUCUCAUUAGAUUUUUUAACUGAGUCAGGUCUCAUAUUGGGUAAGAGGCUUGUAACAGGAUGUAGAUUGGAUAUCCUUGUAAUUGGAUCAAAUUGGCCCUUUGCAUCAGGCUUACUCAAAUAUU